AUGAAAACUCGAGCAAGAAGAUGGUCGAUGGGAGCGAUUGGUCACCGACUGUUCGGCGAGGCUUGACUUAAUUCGCCGAUUCACCCUAAAAAGCUAACUUUGGAAAGAGUAUAAAUUGAUUUUUUUGAAAAGAGAGAAGGCAUUCAACAUUGUAGAAACAAAAACUUAGAAUGCAAACACUCUUAUUGUUAGUUUUUUAGACUAUUUUCAAGGAC
rnacentral:lncRNA from 1 species